UACGUAGGGUGCAAGCGUUGUCCGGAAUUAUUGGGCGUAAAGAGCUCGUAGGCGGUCUGUCGCGUCUGCUGUGAAAACUCAGGGCUUAACCCUGAGCUUGCAGUGGGUACGGGCAGACUAGAGUGCGGUAGGGGAGACUGGAAUUCCUGGUGUAGCGGUGAAAUGCGCAGAUAUCAGGAGGAACACCGGUGGCGAAGGCGGGUCUCUGAGGCCGUGAAACUGACGCUGAGGGGCGAAAGCAUGGGGAGCGAACAGGA
rnacentral:rRNA from 1 species